rnacentral:rRNA from 1 species
GAAGGGUGCAAGCGUUAAUCGGAAUUACUGGGCGUAAAGGGUGCGUAGGCGGUUCGUUAAGUCUGUCGUGAAAUCCCCGGGCUCAACCUGGGAAUGGCGAUGGAUACUGGCGAGCUAGAGUGUGUCAGAGGAUGGUGGAAUUCCCGGUGUAGCGGUGAAAUGCGUAGAGAUCGGGAGGAACAUCAGUGGCGAAGGCGGCCAUCUGGGACAACACUGACGCUGAAGCACGAAAGCGUGGGGAGCAAACAGG